AUUGAACGCUGGCGGCAUGCUUUACACAUGCAAGUCGAACGGUAACAGGGAGCUUGCUCCGCUGACGAGUGGCGAACGGGUGAGUAAUACGUCGGAACGUGCCGAGUAGUGGGGGAUAACGCAUCGAAAGGUGUGCUAAUACCGCAUACGUACUGAGGUAGAAAGUGGGGGACCUUCGGGCCUCACGCUAUUCGAGCGGCCGACGUCUGAUUAGCUAGUUGGUGAGGUAAAGGCUCACCAAGGCGACGAUCAGUAGCGGGUCUGAGAGGAUGAUCCGCCACACUGGGACUGAGACACGGCCCAGACGCCUACGGGAGGCAGCAGUGGGGAAUUUUGGACAAUGGGCGAAAGUCUGAUCCAGCCAUGCCGCGUGUCUGAAGAAGGCCUUCGGGUUGUAAAGGACUUUUGUCGGGGAGGAAAUCCCCAGCGUUAAUACCGCUGGGGGAUGACAGUACCUGAAGAAUAAGCACCGGCUAACUACGUGCCAGCAGCCGCAGUAAAAC
rnacentral:rRNA from 1 species